ensembl:lncRNA
CACUGAGCUUGUCUGAUGCUUUAAGCGCACCAUUUGAUGAAAUAAUUAAGACAAACAAAUGACUGAAGAGGGAGCCCGAUGGCCACACUGUGUUAAAAAGAAAUGAAAGCAAGUGCUUGUGUGACAGGCGCACGUUGUCUCUCUCUCCUCCCUACUGCAGCGAACAGGCCCCACACCACAGUAAGUGUUUAUCUCUGUUGUCUCUCUUCCCUACUGCAGUGAACAGGCCCCACACCACAGUAAGUGUUUAUCUCUGUUGUCUCUCCUCCCUACUGCAGUGAACAGGCCCCACACCACAGUGUUUAUCUCUGUUGUCUCUCUCCCUCCCUACUACAGUGAACAGGCCCCACACCACAGUGUUUAUCUCUGUUGUCUCUCUCUCCUCCCUACUACAGUGAACAGGCCCCACACCACAGUGUUGUCUCUCUCUCCUCCCUACUGCAGUGAACAGGCGCCACACCACAGUGUUUAUCUCUGUCUCCUC